rnacentral:sRNA from 1 species
UGAUUCCAGGGGCAAAAGGUCUAACCCCACAUUCAUAGGUUGGUGAAAGACCUUGGAACCUCCCCGAUAUGAGCAUAAAAGUGGGAUGAUAAUCCCACGAUAUGCGAAUAGUGGGUAGGAUUGUGGAAGUGCGAAGCACGGAACAAUCCGUAGGCAUCA